CUCAGCUCGCCGCGACUGAUGCGGCCAUCUCCAUUGAGGUCGUAAAGCUUGAAGGUCCAGCGCAGACGCUCGUAAACGGAGCCGCGCAACAGAGUGGACAAGGUGACAAGUAGGUCCUGAUGCGACCCAAGAAUAAUAUUUACCCGAAAACUAAUGGCGCCGUUGCAAUUAACAUCGAAGGCUUUGAACACAUAAUGAGCAUAUAAACUGGAAUCUGCGGAAAUAGAAAAUUUUGGGAACGUUUUACUACUUGAACCGAAAACUUGCGUAUAUAAAUGAAAUGUUGGGGGCUUAAGUGCCGCUUUAUGGCGAAAAGCUAUAAUAAAAAAAAACCGAAAGAGAAAAAGCGAAAAGCGAAACGCCAGCAAGGACAUUGAAUAGAUGCACACACACUCAAAUACUUACUGCCAUGUGGAAAGAAUUUGGCGUAAAUAUCCUUAAAACAAUCCUCGUGCACCACACCCUCGGGACAUUCCUGCAAAACAAAAAACACAAUAUCAUUGAAAAUUAUGAGCGCAAAUGUAAUGGCCAAAAGCUGAGUUCACACGCGCUCUGAAUCCUUGCGAAACUAUCUUGUGAACCUAUUACUGUGUGAGACGUGUAUGUAGGCGAGUUCUAUUAAAAUGUUUUUACUAGUCUGA